AUGCGCACUUUUAGUUUGGUCCAUGACAACCCAUUUUACAAUGAAAUUGAGAUUCAAGCUCACAUGCAAAAAAAAAAUUUCUCCACUGAUCUGGUCUUCUCUUUUUCAGUUAUAGCUUCACCUACAAACAAAAUAAGGAAACAGCUACUUGCUUCUUACAGGAAAUUACCCACCCGACACAGAGCAGACAAACAUUUCUUGCUUUCUUCUACUAUAUUUGGCAGGUUUUACAUCUGCAUUGGUGAAGUUCUUUUCAGCAACUUGCCAGCUGCGCAUCAGGCCCUGUUACACAGCCCCACAUCAGACCCUGGGUCUGCCUUUCAGCCACCUGGAUGCAUUGUCCAAAAGAGAAAUCUGCCCGACAGAUACCUGGAUCCCACCUGAACAAGCUCUCACCAGGUGCAUCACCAACAUGACUACUCCCAGCCCCAUCCCUAAGGAGCCCCAGCCUCCCAGAGGCAAUCAGCCCCAAAAUGUAGAGGAGGUCACUAACUACAGCUGAAGCUGGGCUGUGUCAGAGGAGAAAGAGCGGGGUUCAGACACACCAGCUGGGUAAUGCAGCCCCACAGCUUUGGGUUGACCAGUAUGAUCAGGUUGCUACUCUUUCCAUUGAAAUUAGGUGACAAAUAAGAGCAGAAUUCCUAAUAUAUGUGUUUAAAAGGCAAUGGUCAAGGCCAAAUCCAAGCACUCACAUUGUCACAUAUUCUAAAACCCAUGAUUUCAGUCUCCAAUUUAAUUUUAAUGUUGCAUGUAGUUCUGUGGUGCCCCAAGGUGCUCGUAACCUACAGCAGGAAAGAAAAAACAGGGUGAUCUAAAACUGUGGGUAUCCCAUUGAUUCCACAACCACUGAGCUCAUUCAAACUAGAGUGUCAAAUCUCCAGGGCUCCCUGGCGUCACGCAAUUUUCCAGCUGAUGCAGGAAUGCAAAAGCUGGAGGUGGAACAAUGUAUUAGUCUCUAUGUUAAUGUGCUGCGUUAUCUGUUCAUAUCUGACACAGCAGAGAUGAUAUAUUACUUAAUGAGUAUUAGUAGCCCCAUCCACGUGGGAGAGGAUAAAUACAGGGCAGAUAGCUGCCAAUCUCACUGAAAACAAAAAGAGGAAACAACUCUUGUAAGCCUACAGCACUCAGCCUCAAGAAAGAGCCAGGUGUGACAAUUCUGAAUUUGUUAAAAACAAAAAACAAAAAGCCACACAAACCACACACCCCACCAUGAAGAUAACACUCAAGGAAACAUGAGUGUUUCGAAGUGAAGAUUGCCUGAAAUGUAGGGAAUUACAAGGGAGGUGGAGUGACAACAAAACCCCUUGGUACACAAAUAGGACAUACAGAAGAACUGCACUUCAGAUCUCUUGAGAAACAAACAAACAAAAAAAUCUUUGAAAGUAUAAAUCAAAUUUACGUUUUAACUGUAAUCUCUGCUUUCUCUUUCCACUUAGCUACCUAAUACCUGGGCAUGAAGUCUGAUAAACAGCUGAAAGUGUUUGGGUGAGAAAUGACCAGAAAAAAACUGACACACACAACGCUCCAAAUGCGGCACAUUCAUGAGGUCUGCAUCAAGGACAUACAGAACCCAACUUAUUUCAGGAGAAGGGCUUGUGGUCUGCAAUUUUCCUUCAGGAAAUCCACAACUUUAUUCCACUUUUAUCCACUGAAACACCAAUACAUAACCUGCAUUGGUGCAUUCUUAUUUAAAAUAUGCCGCAAAGAAGUCCAGAGCAGCAGCGCAUCCAGAUGUACGCUCUGUUGAAUGGUCAAAGCAGACACAAAUUCAGUUUAAGAGUAGGAUUUGGAAGUCAUUUUAAUACAACUUUUAUCAAUAUCACUCGCUGUACCUUACAGCUGCAGAGAUUCUAAAACUCACAAGUGACAUUUCUGAUCGUAAGCUGUGAAGAGUGACCUCUUCAAAAUCUUUUGCUUAGGUCUCAUAGCAACUACAGCUUCGCAGAUACUGGAAGAAGUCAAUAUAAACUGAGACUAUUUGCAUUCAUUUUGCAAGACAAGAAAAACUUUACAUCAAGAAAAAAAACACAUUUUUCAGUCAUUCUUUGUGCUUGCAUUAGUGGUUCUGCAGGAAAUAAAAACAUAUUUCAAGUGCAACCAACCCAUUUAAUUCAACUCAUUUUUGUUUCAGCCCAGAUGUAAUGUGUUCCACACAUCGCAAACUAUGAGUCACUAUUUCAUAACACUAUCUCACAUUCAUGUUUAUUUUCCAGUGCUUUAGAGAGGGAAAUACUAGCUCAUCAUUUAACAAAUGCAGUCCUAGUUAGUAGACUAUAAUUGGGAUGCCAAGACAAUAGUUUGUUUGUGCAAAAAAAAAAAAAAAAAAAAAAAAAGCCUGAACUAUUAAGGCAGCCGUAUCCAAGCUUUUCAGGACUGAUGCACCAAGAGGCCAGGGACAGUUCAACCAGCUCUGUGUGAAUGCAGGGGCAUUACUGAACACUUUCUUAAAGCUUAUUUUGAGAAGCUAGCACUGUGGAAGUGCUGUUCAAUGAACGACAUGGAUUUCUAACAGAACACUGUAAACUAAACAAAAGCUUCAAGUAAAUCCAUACUCCUACCAUGAUCCUCCAAACUGAACUUUUGUCUAAUGAAGUCCAAUUUAACUGGAAAGUUUAUUCCCUUAAUUAAUACUUAGGUAUUACAAAGGGCAUGCAACUUCUGUACAGCAUAUCCCACUGGCAUUGACUUUCUAACCAAGCAUUUAAAGAGGUGUCUGGCAACCUCAAACCCACAUACCACUCUCUCAGAAGAGCAGUGAGGUCCCACAAGCAUUGCCAGGUCACAGGAAGAUUGCAUCAACCACAAGUGAAGCAAUGCACCCACAGGGCAGGAGAAUUUUCUUAUCUCAGAACAGCAACCUCUCACUGCACAGCUUGAAGUGAAAUUUUACUUCCAAAUACAACACAGGCUUGUUUUAAGCAAACCCACAGACCUAUCAGAGCCCAUGAGGCCAAAACACUCAUGAGCACGGAGCAAGGGUCUUCCUUGGGCGAGCUUAACCCAAAGCUGGUGACCCCAAAACCGGAGAUCCUUCAGCUUCACCUCAGCUGCUUCAACCCUCGGGAGAGGACACAGCUCCUUCUCCACCUUCCCUGGCCCACCACAGCAGGAAAAAGGACCCUACAUCAUGCAAGGAGGCCUCAGGGCCUGCUGUCUGCCCAGAAAGCCUCACACAUUAGCUACAUAUGCUCCUUUUUUUUUUUUUUUUUUAAGGAAGAAGAAAACAACCCCUUCAUUUUGCUCCCCACCACCCUCACCUGAGGCAUAAGGACCCCCCUCCAGCCCCUAUUUAUACCCUAGGCACACUGGUGGGCGGACCCCCCGCUGCACCUCUGCCAUUCUAUUGGGUGUCAGCGCUGUCAAUCUCCGCAAGCGGGCGCGCUGCCAGCGAACCGUGCGCGAGUGCCGCGGGCGCCCCCUAAUGGCGGCGGGUGGGGGGGCUGAGGGAGGGGGGGGGUUCCACGCCCGGCCGCGGCCCCGGCCCCGGGCGGGGGGGGGGGGGGGGGGGGGGAGGGGGGGGGUCCCACGCCCGGCCGCGACCGCGUCCCGGGGCGGGAGGCAGCAGCGGCGGGGAGGGCGGCUCGGAGCGGCCGGGCGGCGCUGCCAGCGGCUGCGGGACGGGCCCGCGUCGUCCGCUCCUCGUCCCCGCGGCGGAUGGGGUGAGGCGAGGCGAGGAGAGGCGAAGCGGCCGCCG
rnacentral:lncRNA from 1 species